UACGUAGGGGGCGAGCGUUGUCCGAAGUCACUGGGCGUAAAGCGCGCGUAGGCGGGGGAUUAAGUGAGAAGUGAAAGGCUGGGGCUCAACCCUCGAAUGCCGGUGGAUACUGUCGGGCUAGAGUGCGGAAGAGGCGAGUGGAAUUCCUGGUGUAGCGGUGAAAUGCGCAGAUAUCAGGAGGAACACCGAUUGCGAAGGCAGCUCGCUGGGACGUAACUGACGCUGAGACGCGAAAGCGUGGGGAGCAAACAGG
rnacentral:rRNA from 1 species